ACGAACGCUGGCGGCGUGCUUCACACCUGCAAGUCGAACGAAGCUUGAUUACGGAUUCUUCGGAUGAAGUAUGAUAUGACUGAGUGGCGGACGGGUGAGUAACGCGUGAGUAACCUGCCCUUCAGAGGGGGAUAGCGUUUGGAAACGAACGGUAAUACCGCAUAAUGUAUUUUGACCGCAUGAUCGAAAUACCAAAGAUUUAUCGCUGAAGGAUGGACUCGCGUCUGAUUAGGUAGUUGGUGGGGUAACGGCCUACCAAGCCGACGAUCAGUAGCCGGACUGAGAGGUUGAUCGGCCACAUUGGGACUGAGACACGGCCCAGACUCCUACGGGAGGCAGCAGUGGGGAAUAUUGCACAAUGGGCGCAAGCCUGAUGCAGCAACGCCGCGUGAAGGAAGACGGUUUUCGGAUUGUAAACUUCUGUUCUUAGUGAAGAAUAAUGACGGUAGCUAAGGAGCAAGCCACGGCUAACUACGUG
rnacentral:rRNA from 1 species